rnacentral:rRNA from 1 species
UGGGGAAUAUUGCACAAUGGGGGAAACCCUGAUGCAGCGACGCCGCGUGAAGGAAGAAGUAUCUCGGUAUGUAAACUUCUAUCAGCAGGGAAGAAAAUGACGGUACCUGACUAAGAAGCCCCGGCUAACUACGUGCCAGCAGCCGCGGUAAUACGUAGGGGGCAAGCGUUAUCCGGAUUUACUGGGUGUAAAGGGAGCGUAGACGGAAAAGCAAGUCUGAUGUGAAAGGCUGGGGCUUAACCCCAGGACUGCAUUGGAAACUGUUGUUCUAGAGUGCCGGAGAGGUAAGCGGAAUUCCUAGUGUAGCGGUGAAAUGCGUAGAUAUUAGGAGGAACACCAGUGGCGAAGGCGGCUUACUGGACGGUAACUGACGGUGAGGCUCGAAAGCGUGGGGAGCAAACA